ensembl:misc_RNA
UUGACAGUUCUGGAAGCUGAAGUCCUCUCUAUCCACAGAACACACACAGCAUAGGCAGCUGGAGACCCAGCUUCCCCACAGUGCCCUUCCGGUGUGCCUUCACCCUGUUCUGGAGGAAAUGCCUUUAAGCAGUGGGAAGGUACUUCUGUCUUCAUUUCCAUUCAAUCUUUGGUACCU